GGACGAUGAAGGAAACAUCUGUGCUGUGUCUGCUCUUUCUGAUCUCACUGCUGAGCUGCACAACAAACCAAGAGAGGUACACCACCAGACCUCCACCUGCAUCCACCUCUCCACCUGCAUCUACACCUCCUCCUGGUUCCAGCUCCCACACUCUUUCUGCCUUUCUCUCUCCUGUCAUUCUUUCUGUGUUGUCAUUUUUUUGUUCGGUCUGUGUUGUGGUUCUACUGGUGUUACUGGUUCUGCUGCUGAGACAAUGUGUUCACAGGAAACCUGAAGAACGAGAAGAAGCUGGAGAAGAUGACAUUAUAUAUGACAAUGAAAUAACAUACAGCACUGUUAAAAUAUCAAAUGAUCAAAAAGAUCCAAUCAGGUGAUGCAGAGAGCCAGAUGUCGUCUACUCUUCACUGAAGUAGUCCACCAGUCCAACCACUGUCAUCCAGCUGCUGGUCUCUAACUGGUUCCCCCAGCACCUCAGACCAGAGGACAUCCACAUGUUACAGAUUUUUAUAUUUGUCUUUUUUUUCCCCUGAACACAAAUGUCUUUUUUAUGUGUAAUAAACAUACAUGUAGAUGCACUUUUUCACAAUACAGAAUUUGCAUCACAUCUUCUGGUUCCUUUAUGUACAAAGCAAUGUAACUGUUAUUUAUGGUCUUGUUUUUACAGCAGCAGUUUAGUUUGUCUUCUCCUCUGGGUUUCCAUGCUUUAUAAAUCCUCUUGUGGAAACAUUUGUAGACUCUCUCUCUCUCUAUGGUUUAACAGGCACACAUCAUGAACACCUUCACUUCAUAUGUCCUGAACCAGCACAUAGGUCCCCCCAUUUAACCUUUCAGUGAAAAAGUUUAAGUGGUCAUGA
ensembl:lncRNA